GGCAUGGUGGCUUAGUGGAUUUAGAGCCCCCGCCUCAUGAACGGGAAGAUCGUGGGUUCGAACCCCGGCCGAGUCA
rnacentral:tRNA from 1 species